UAGGGAAUCUUCGGCAAUGGGGGCAACCCUGACCGAGCAACGCCGCGUGAGUGAAGAAGGUUUUCGGAUCGUAAAGCUCUGUUGUAAGAGAAGAACGUGUGUGAGAGUGGAAAGUUCACACAGUGACGGUAACUUACCAGAAAGGGACGGCUAACUACGUGCCAGCAGCCGCGGUAAUACGUAGGUCCCGAGCGUUGUCCGGAUUUAUUGGGCGUAAAGCGAGCGCAGGCGGUUUAAUAAGUCUGAAGUUAAAGGCAGUGGCUUAACCAUUGUUCGCUUUGGAAACUGUUAAACUUGAGUGCAGAAGGGGAGAGUGGAAUUCCAUGUGUAGCGGUGAAAUGAGUAGAUAUAUGGAGGAACACCGGUGGCGAAAGCGGCUCUCUGGUCUGUAACUGACGCUGAGGCUCGAAAGCGUGGGGAGCAAACAGG
rnacentral:rRNA from 1 species